GACAGACCAAAAUCUCACAUACCCAGGGAUACCAGUUUUGUCUGAAGCUUCGAUUUGUGGUGGCAAGGCACACCGUUUUGCUGUUGUGAGAAAUGACACCAUGGGAAGACAUCCUGACAUUCUUCCCCACACAAAACUGAGGUGGCAGAAUGCAGUUGGGACAGCAAUGUGAGCAUCCGUCUUAUGUCAGCUCGGGGAUCUUGAGUGGAAGGAUGUUGGUGUCAGGCAGCAUUUGUGAUGCCUGCUACUGGUCCUCUUGGCUGCCUUAAAGGACUACUCACCCAUGAAUAGGCUUCAGGAUGCAUCAGACUUGCGAAAUACACAGGAAGAAGGUGAUCUCCCA